rnacentral:rRNA from 1 species
AGCCCGGAGAUGGACACUGAGACAAGGGUCCAGGCCCUAAGGGGCGCAGCAACCGCGAAACCUCCACAAUGCACUCACGUGCGAUGGGGCUAUCUCGAGUGCCACCUGAUGAAGGUGGCUUUUCCUUGGUCUUCAAAGCCUUGGGAAUAAGAGGGGGGCAAGACUGGUGUCAGCCGCCGCGGUAACACCAGCCCCUCGAGUGGUGGGGAUGAUUAUUUGGCCUAAAGCGUCCGUAGCCGGCCGAGCAAGUCUUCCGUUAAAUCCAGCGUCUCAAGCGUUGGACCGCGGGAGAUACUACACGGCUAGAGAGUGGGAGAGGUCAGCGGUAUUCUGGGGGUAGGGGCGAAAUCCUUUGAUCCCCGGAGGACCACCAGUGGCGAAGGCUGCUGACUAGAACACGUCUGACGGUCAGGGACGAAAGCUGGGGUAGCGAACCGGAUUAGAUACCCGGGUAGUCCCAGCCGUAAACGAUGCAUGCUAGGUGUUGGGUUGGCCACGAGCCACCCCAGUGCCGCAGGGAAGCCGUUAAGCAUGCCGCCUGGGAAGUACGAUCGCAAGAUUGAAACUUAAAGGAAUUGGCGGGGGAGCACAAUCG